rnacentral:rRNA from 1 species
AACAGCCGCGGUAAUUCCAGCUCCAAUAGCGUAUAUUAAAGUUGUUGCAGUUGAAAAGCUCGUAGUUGAACUUCGGGGUCUACCCAUUGGUCAGGCUUAUUGUCUGCACUGGUGAGAUGGAUCUCUACCUUCUGAGGAACUUUCAUGCCAUUUAUUUGGUGUGGUUGGAAAUCAGGACUGUUACUUUGAAAAAAUUAGAGUGUUUAAAGCAGACUAUCGUCUGAAUACAUUAGCAUGGAAUAAUGAAAUAGGACGGACCGAUUCUAUUCGUUGGUUCUAGGAUCACCGUAAUGAUUAAUAGGGAUAGUUGGGGGCAGUUAGUAUUCAAU